GCUCCCGGCCGCCGGGCCGGGCUGCGCGGCAGCGGGAGGCAGGAGGCGGCCGGGCGUGCUCCGGACAGCACCGCGCGUCCCGCACACCGAGCGUGCCCCGCACACCCACCGCGCCCUGCUCGGCCCGGGGCACCCCGUCAGGGCCACAGGGCUAAUGGAAUGAGUCAUCGACAGAGUGGAUUAUUUAAAGCACCAUGAAACCUAUCAUGUCCGGGGGCCAGAUCAUGCUUCUGAGAUCUGCACAACUACACGAAGAUCUUGACGCCUGCUUUCAAAACAGCAGUUGGAGUACUUUGGUUGUGAUACCCACCCCAAUUACUUGCUGUGAAAGCUUCUCCCACAUGUGCUUGUGAAUAUAGCUUGAAGACAGAGCUGAGAGGUGAACAACAUGUACCUUCCUACCAGAAGAGUUUCAUUGAAAAGAUCUCAAGAGCAAGAGAUUUACUGCGUGAUGCCUGGCCACACCUUGAGUCCGUACUCAGGAGAAACAAAGACACAUGCUGCAAUCCCAAGAAGGAUGGUGGGAGCUCUCGUGGGUGGGUGAAGCGGGUGUCAAGGUGCUGCAGCCGUGUGCCACUGCUGGUCCCUCAACCAUCUGCAGGAGUGGGAACACGAGGGGGAGGAAGGAGGGUCCUAACCACUAUCUCUUGUGGAAACAGGAAAGUGGAUUCGCUCUGUUCUCUGUUUAAAGAGGUAGAUUUUCAUUAGAUAGUGUAUUAUUUAGAUUCAGUCUUUUAAAGGAGAAUGUUCAAUACAGCCUGCUCCAGGAAUGGCCUUUAUAUAUUAACAAAAUAAAAUGUAAGGCAUGUAAGUUAAAAGCUUUGAUAGGAAAACUCUCUGCAAUAGGAGCAUUCACAUUUGCGUCCAUCGCCAUCAUCAGUGCUGUUCUUCCAUAUAGUGUAGCUGU